rnacentral:rRNA from 1 species
CAAUAGCGUAUAUUAAAGUUGUUGCAGUUAAAAAGCUCGUAGUUGAAUUUCUGGCGGGCGCGCCGGUCUUCCAAGUGUUGUACUGGGCGCAGUCCGCCAUCCUUGUGGAGAGGGCUCGCAUUGAGUUGCGUGUCGGAUCUGCAUCAUUUACUGUGAAAAAAUUAGAGUGUUUAAAGCAGGCUAUCGCUUGAAUACAUUAGCAUGGAAUAAUAAGAUAGGACUUCGGUCUAUUUUGUUGGUUGCGAACCGAGGUAAUGAUUAAUAGGGAUAGUUGGGGGUAUUCAUAUUUAAUUGUCAGAGGUGAAAUUCUUGGAUUUAUGAAAGAUGAACAACUGCGAAAGCAUUUACCAAGGAUGUUUNCAUUA